rnacentral:rRNA from 1 species
AGCAGCCGCGGUAAUUCCAGCUCCAAUAGCGUAUGCAAAAGUUGUUGCAGUUAAAAAGCUCGUAGUUGAAUUUCGAAAUUUUUUUAUCGGUUGAAUCAACAGGUUCGUACUGAUUUUAAGAAUUUCUACCUUCUGGAGAACCUUAAUGUCAUUUAUUUGAUGUUUUGGGAAACCAGGACUGUCACCUUGAAAAAAUUAGAGUGUUUAAAGCAGGCUUAUGUCUGAAUAUAUUAGCAUGGAAUAAUGAAAUAGGACGGCAUGGUUCUAUUUUGUUGGUUUCUAGGAUCACCGUAAUGAUUAAUAGGGAUAGUUGGGGGCAUUAGUAUUCAAUUGUCAGAGGUGAAAUUCUUGGAUUUAUUGAAGACUAACUUCUGCGAAAGCAUUUGCCAAGGAUGUUUUCAUUAAUCAAGAACGAAAAGUUAGGGGAUCGAAGACGAUCAGAUACCGUCGUAGUCUUAAACCCAUAAACUAUGCCGACUAGGAAUCGGACGAAGUUAAUUUUUUAAUGUACUCGUUUCGG